rnacentral:rRNA from 1 species
AUUGAACGCUGGCGGCAGGCUUAACACAUGCAAGUCGAGCGGGGGAAGGUAGCUUGCUACCGGACCUAGCGGCGGACGGGUGAGUAAUGCUUAGGAAUCUGCCUAUUAGUGGGGGACAACAUCUCGAAAGGGAUGCUAAUACCGCAUACGUCCUACGGGAGAAAGCAGGGGAUCUUCGGACCUUGCGCUAAUAGAUGAGCCUAAGUCGGAUUAGCUAGUUGGUGGGGUAAAGGCCUACCAAGGCGACGAACUGUAGCGGGUCUGAGAGGAUGGUCCGCGACACUGGGACUGAGACACGGCCCAGACUCCUACGGGAGGCAGCAGUGGGGAAGAUUGGACAAUGGGGGGAACCCGGAUCCAGCCAUGCCGCGUGUGUGAAGAAGGCCUUAUGGUUGUAAAGCACUUUAAGCGAGGAGGAGGCUACUUUAGUUAAUACCUAGAGAUAGUGGACGUUACUCGCAGAAUAAGCACCGGCUAACUCUGUGCCAGCCGCCGCCGUAACAC